CCCUUCCCCGCCGCGCCGGGCCUGGUGCCCACCCCUCCACCCCCAACUCCCCGGCAACCUUCGUCCCCAGCCCCGGGUCGGGGAGGCCCGCGGGGACUGCUCUUCGGGAAAAGCUGGUGGUGACUGCAGAGAAACCCGCUCCCCGCCCGCUGGCGCGCAGGCAGCCGCCACGGCGCCCACAGGCGCUGUCACCGGAGCGAGUUCGGGGAUGUCCGGGUCGGGGGUCCGCGCGGCGCUGGCCGGGGGCCCGCUUUGAGAUCUGGUGGAUCGGCGCAGCCUGCGGCUGCUUUGGCGGCUGCGAAGGCGCACAGGUGCUCUGGGGAGGGGGGCGGGGGGCUGGCGGCGCCACCACCGACCGUCACUGACAGCCUCUCCGCGGGCGCCCAAAUUCGAUCACUCGCGAAUUGCGUAAGCGGCCCUUCGGGUACCCGGGCAGAGAGAACUGCGCGGGCUUGCUGCCUGCUGCACCUUGCUAGGCCCACCGCUCCAGCCUGAACGCCCUCCACUUCCUGCCCUGCACUUGGUAUUCCAGCAACGUUGGACUGUUUCUCUCUCCUUGCUGGGGUUGAGGAUGCUGACCCUCCUGCCUGGCUUUCCCACCGUCACCCUUUGCCCGACUGGUCUCACUAGCCUUUUAAAACCGGUUCUAUUACCUCCCCUCGCAGCUGCCUCACCCUGCCGUAGAAGCCGCCCGCCCUUCUCAGCGUCUUGGCUCCUGUUUACAUCUCUGUGACUGCGCUUAGGUUUGCACACGGUUGCUUUUGCCUUCUGUGAGAUACUUGAAGAUAGGGGCCAUGUCUUACCCUCCGUGAACGUUAUCGGGCACACACUAGUCGAUAGAAGCAGUCACUUGCCACCUGUGUGCUUGCUUCCCUUCUCAUCAGAUAAGGCUAGCCCUAGGACCCUGGAACCGCUGAAGAAUCAAGGUAGCCCGCGGUCACAUGCUGAUUUCCAUGGCACCAGGAUUUUAAUUCCUGCUUGACAUUUGACUAAGCAGAAGACAUCGGACAAGAGAACAUCUCAUUAAACACCCGUAGGGACAGAUUGGGUGAGCCCCGGCCUGAAGGCAGAAGCCUGCUGUAGAUCUACCUCAUCACUAGCUAGCUGCUGUCUUAAGCAACCAUGACGCCUCUCUGUGACUACUAAGAGGUGAUUAAGUUAGAGGGUUCAAUGGGAAUCUUUCUCGUAACUUCCUGUUGCCAGAUCUAAAGAGUCAAGUAUGGCUUCCUAGCCAAGCUCUGCCACUCACUGGAGAUGUAGUCACUGGUUAGGUGACUGAUUGGCAGGACAAGCCCUCGGAGUUACAGAGGCAUUGGCUGUGACCAGAGGAGGCAAACCAUGGACUCGGCCCCCUACUGUAAGGGGCAAUGUAAGCCUUGGCAUGCCUCCCGGUGGGCUGUGGGUUUAUAUAUAAAGUUCCGCAGGGUGGGUUGCAAGUAAGAACCAGUCUGGAAGUCACAGCAAGACCUUCCCAGACCAUGUUUUCCAGGGAGGGAAUAGGAGAGAGAAGAAUAGAAGAUUGCCUUAAAUAACACCAUGUAGAACGGAGACACUGUACGGUUAUUAUGUCCUUACUGGAUCCUGAGGGUCAUUUUAUCUAUAUGCUUUCAACAUUUUCUAUAAUGGACGUGUAUUUCUUAAACCAGACCUUUAAAUAAAAUCUUUUUCUUUAACGUUAGAGGAAGUUAGUUUUUGCAAAUAUGGGCUCAUCUCCU
rnacentral:lncRNA from 1 species